CCCCGCGGCAAGGGAGAGGGAGAAAAUGCUGGUUAGCUUUUCCAGUCAUGGUGCUGUGCCAUGUACCUGGAAUGCAGGUAAAAGAUCCUACUCCUUUAGAAGCUCAGUCUGGUGGAAUUACCUGCUGUCACAUCCAUCAUCAGAUUUGAUCCUUGCAGCCUCUCUGAAAGAAGAAGAAGAAAUGCUACUUAUCCUUACUGAGGAUAAACUGGACCCAUGACUGUCCACCACCACUCAAGACCUCACCCACCUGAGACCACAGAGGAAGCAGUGUGAAGCACUGAGCACGGUGAAGACAUACAUACUGCCUGGAAACAAACGUGGUUAGAAAAUUAUUACGGGGCGCCUGGGUGGCACAGCGGUUAAGCAUCUGCCUUCGGCUCAGGGCGUGAUCCCGGC